GACGAACGCUGGCGGCGUGCUUAACACAUGCAAGUCGAACGGAAAGGCCCUGCUUUUGUGGGGUGCUCGAGUGGCAAACGGGUGAGUAACACGUGAGUAACCUGCCCUUGACUUUGGGAUAACUUCAGGAAACUGGGGCUAAUACCGGAUAGGAGCUCCUGCUGCAUGGUGGGGGUUGGAAAGUUUCGGCGGUUGGGGAUGGACUCGCGGCUUAUCAGCUUGUUGGUGGGGUAGUGGCUUACCAAGGCUUUGACGGGUAGCCGGCCUGAGAGGGUGACCGGCCACAUUGGGACUGAGAUACGGACCAGACUCCUACGGGAGGCAGCAGUGGGGAAUAUUGCACAAUGGGCGGAAGCCUGAUGCAGCAACGCCGCGUGCGGGAUGACGGCCUUCGGGUUGUAAACCGCUUUCGCCUGUGACGAAGCGUGAGUGACGGUAAUGGGUAAAGAAGCACCGGCUAACUACGUG
rnacentral:rRNA from 1 species